GUUAAAGUCUAUUCAAAGCAUCCCAUUGAAUCACAGAAUCAUUCAGGUUGGAAAAGACCCUUGAGAUCAUCGAGUCCAACCAUCACCUACUCUACAAAGUUGUGCCCUACACCAAAUCCCCCAUCAUCUCAUCUAAACGACUCUUAAACACAUCCAGGGAUGGUGACUCCACCACCUCCCUGGGUGGCAUAUUCCACUGUCUGACCACUCUUUCUGUGAAUUUUUUUUUCCUAAUGUCUAGUAUGAACCUCCCCUGUUAGAAUUUAAAGCCAUUCCCUCUUGUUCUGA